rnacentral:rRNA from 1 species
GACAGAGGGUGCAAACGUUGUUCGGAAUUACUGGGCGUAAAGCGUGCGCAAACGGCUUUGCAAGACAGAUGUGAAAUCCCCGGGCUUAACCUGGGAACUGCAUUUGUGACUGCAUGGCUAGAGUGCGGCAGAGGGGGAUGGAAUUCCGCGUGUAGCAGUGAAAUGCGUAGAUAUGCGGAGGAACACCGAUGGCGAAGGCAAUCCCCUGGGCCUGCACUGACGCUCAUGCACGAAAGCGUGGGGAGCAAACAGG